AGCAGCCGCGGUAAUUCCAGCUCCAAUAGCGUAUAUUAAAGUUGUUGCAGUUAAAAAGCUCGUAGUUGAAUUUCGGGAUCAGUAGGUUGGUCAUGCCUCUGGUAUGUACUGGUCUCACUGGUUCCUCCUUCCUGAUGAACCGUAAUGCCAUUAAUUUGGUGUUGCGGGGAAACUGGACUGUUACUUUGAAAAAUUAGAGUGUUUAAAGCAGGCUAACGCUUGAAUACAUUAGCAUGGAAUAAUGAAAUAGGACGAUCGAUCCUAUUUUGUUGGUUUCUAGGAUUGACGUAAUGAUUAAUAGGGAUAGUUGGGGCAUUAGUAUUCAAUUG
rnacentral:rRNA from 1 species